GAUGAACGCUGGCGGCGUGCCUAAUACAUGCAAGUCGAGCGAACAGACGAGGAGCUUGCUCCUCUGACGUUAGCGGCGGACGGGUGAGUAACACGUGGAUAACCUACCUAUAAGACUGGGAUAACUUCGGGAAACCGGAGCUAAUACCGGAUAAUAUAUUGAACCGCAUGGUUCAAUAGUGAAAGACGGUUUUGCAGUCACUUAUAGAUGGAUCCGCGCCGCAUUAGCUAGUUGGUAAGGUAACGGCUUACCAAGGCGACGAUGAGUAGCCGACCUGAGAGGGUGAUCGGCCACACUGGAACUGAGACACGGUCCAGGCUCCUACGGGAGGCAGCAGUAGGGAAUCUUCCGCAAUGGGCGAAAGCCUGACGGAGCAACGCCGCGUGAGUGAUGAAGGUCUUCGGAUCGUAAAACUCUGUUAUUAGGGAAGAACAAAUGUGUAAGUAACUAUGCACGUCUUGACGGUACCUAAUCAGAAAGCCACGGCUAACUACGUG
rnacentral:rRNA from 1 species